rnacentral:tRNA from 1 species
GGGCGUGUGGCGAAACUGGCAGACGCAUCGGGUUUAAGCCCCGACGGUUAGAUACCAUGAGAGUUCGAACCUCUCCGCGCCUACCA